UACGUAGGGUGCAAGCGUUGUCCGGAAUUAUUGGGCGUAAAGAGCUCGUAGGCGGUCUGUCACGUCGGCUGUGAAAACCCGAGGCUCAACCUCGGGCCUGCAGUCGAUACGGGCAAACUAGGAGUACUGCAGGGGAGACUGGAAUUCCUGGUGUAGCGGUGAAAUGCGCAGAUAUCAGGAGGAACACCGGUGGCGAAGGCGGUUCUCUGGGCCUUACCUGACGCUGGAGGAGCGAAAGCGUGGGAGCAAACAGG
rnacentral:rRNA from 1 species